CCUACGGGAGGCAGUAGUGGGGGAUAUUGCACAAUGGGGGGAACCCUGAUGCAGCGACGCCGCGUGGGUGAAGAAGCGCCUCGGCGCGUAAAGCCCUGUCAGCAGGGAAGAAAAUGACGGUACCUGAAGAAGAAGCCCCGGCUAACUACGUGCCAGCAGCCGCGGUAAUACGUAGGGGGCAAGCGUUAUCCGGAUUUACUGGGUGUAAAGGGGGCGCAGACGGCGAUGCAAGCCAGGAGUGAAAGCCCGGGGGCCAACCCCGGGACUGCUCUUGGAACUGCGUGGCUGGAGUGCAGGAGGGGCAGGCGGAAUUCCUGGUGUAGCGGUGAAAUGCGUAGAUAUCAGGAGGAACACCGGUGGCGAAGGCGGCCUGCUGGACUGCAACUGACGUUGAGGCACGAAAGCGUGGGGAGCAAACAGGAUUAGAUACCCGAGUAGUC
rnacentral:rRNA from 1 species